rnacentral:rRNA from 1 species
GUGUCAGCCGCCGCGGUAAUACGGAGGGUGCAAGCGUUAUCCGGAAUCACUGGGUAUAAAGGGUGCGUAGGCGGCUUGUUAAGUCAGGAGUGAAAGGCCAUGGCUCAACUAUGGGAUUGCUUUUGAUACUGACGAGCUUGGAUUAGGACGAGGUUGGCGGAAUGUGGCAAGUAGCGGUGAAAUGCAUAGAUAUGCCAUAGAAUACCGAUUGCGAAGGCAGCUGACUAGACCUAUAUUGACGCUGAGGCACGAAAGCGUGGGGAGCGAACAGGAUUAGAAACCCGCGUAGUCC